CUUCAGUCUAGGUUAGAACCUCCUAGGAGCUCUUCGUUAGAUUGCUGGGAACACUGGUAAUUAAUUGUGUGUUGAUUUUUUAAUGCCUGUCUUCUUCACGGGAUUCUGCUUCUGUAUGUCUGCAUUAAGAGCAGCCUCUGCACACAAGAACAACUCAACAAAAGUAGGAUGAAUAGUUUAAAAUGUGUCCUUCAUUGAAACAAAUAAACUUCAUUAGAAGUGCCUGUGCCUCUGAGGCACAACUAAGUAAACUUUUAGUUCCAAAGUUAAAGAAAAAAAAAAGAACUAGGGGAACUUUCCACAUCCCUAAUACCCAUAACAGUAAUGAAUCUCAAGGGAAGAACAACUCCAUCCACCAGAAGAUGAGACUCUCUAGAUGGGUUGUUUCAGCUGUGUUCCUUUGUGGAUUUCUGAGUUGCCAUAGAGACCCAACAGAACCCCAAAUAGUCCAAUUGUGAUGCCCACUCCACAGAGAAAAGUAGUGUGCCAUCAAUAGUUUCUCCUGAGUCUACUAUGGGACAUGGACCUGGAAGGCCACGUACCAUUAACCAGAAACAACUUAAGCUCAACAGAAAGUUGUUCAAAACCAACACUGUGGGAAGAGAACAAAGGCAACUCUAAGAGAUCUGUGAACCCACAGGUUCAGGAAAAAAAAAACAGAGACAGCUCAUUUCUGGGGACACCUGGCACAUGCUAGUGACAAGAGAGUCAGGCAGCACUGCACAGGGAGAGUGCAUGUUGCAAACACAGAGAAGUGGUGACACACGCACUACAAACACAAGACUUGCCCAUGUCCAAGACCUGCAGACCCUGCUGCAGCUCUGGAAUCUCCUUUGAACAUCUGGUGAGUCCCCCAACAACAGGGGUCCUCAGGCAACACUGCAGUGGAAACCAGGAAUCUGUCAUCAGAACCACCUAGGGAGACAACUGCGCACCUCACCUGGUAGCUAAAGAGGUAAACUGCUUGUUGCAAUUUUUGGAAUGGAGAAAAGGGAACCCACUUCUUCAAGACACUCUGUCUAGAGCCAGUCAUCUAUUUUCAGUGCCCCUGCUGGGCCAUGGGACAACUCACUUUGAUCUUUUGAUCAUCCUCCGUGUUUUCACUCACCUUCAGACAAUUGAAGUUAAUUAUGCAGCAAGAAUAAAUGUAUUAACAAGAAGAAAGAAAAAUGACCCACAAUCUUCCCAUCUUACAAGCCGUUCGUUUUUUUUCAUGAUCAUAUCUAAUCCACAUAGAUAUGUGUUUUACCGAGAAAUCGAGUGGUACGUUACUAUUUCUCUGACUCAGCCUUAUCACAUGCUUGCUGCUCAUGUCCUGGAUGUACCAGCCUCUUCCCUACAGUAGUUUGCCUGAACCUGUCAUUUGUACAAAGAACAACCAUUGACAAGAUUGCCUCAUUCUUCAUCCAGAACUCUGAGGACAAAGGCAGUGAAAAAUCCAGAAAUAAAUAAUCAUUUUAAGCCAAAGAUACACUCUCUAAAAUUGAAGUGAGACCAAUGUAGGGAUACAAAAUACAUGAUCUAUAAACACAGCUCUGUAAACUUAUAACUAAUAAAUGUAAUAAAAUAUACUCAAGAGAAAUACAUCAAAAUCUUAAUAGAAGUUGCCUCUGUGAGGUUUUGGAGAUUCUUAUUAUUCAGUUCCUUUUAUUUCAACUUUAAGGAUGAGCUGAUAACACUUUUAGAAUAAAGAGCUAAUAUUAUGUUCCUGUCCCCUAUGUGGCCAGCCCUGUGCUAAGUGUUGGGUGUAUGAUACCCAUUUAAGAGCCACGAGAACAUUUCACAUCAGUAUUCUUACAAUACUCAAGGUGGAAACAGAAGGUUGGUGAGAUCAGUUAGUAAGUGAUGGAUCCCAGUUCCAGUCACAGGCUCUCUGACUAAACUAAAUGCCUUCAGUAAAAAGCUCUUGAGCAUGUAUUCCACUGAUGGCAGCAUUAACUUCUGUGGCACAUGGAUCCUGGAUUUGCAAACACAAACAUUUGGACAAAUAUGGGAAAAGAUAUCAUCUGAUAUAAACAAAUUUAACACAGCGUUUCUAACAGAAAAAAGGAGGGCCAUGGAAAACGAAUUGGUAAAAACAAAACUUUUCCAAUAAACAGAUAAAACGGAGUCAAAAUAUAGGACUCGCUGCUGACUCACUGUGAGAUGUGGGCAACCUGCCUGAAGAGGAAGAGUAGCGAGCCAGCAGCUCACAGGCAUAGAGGACUUCUUCAGCCCAAAUCCAACACUCACCCUCUUCCUCUCCA